UGCUCACAACGGGGGUGCUAUUUAACCAUAUUGUCUAGUAUAGUAGCUGAGAUAUACCCUUUGUACCUGAUCUAAUUAGUAUUAGCGUAGGGAGUUUGUUUGGUGUUUUUC
rnacentral:ncRNA from 2 species